CACUGCUAUCGGGGUUCGAUUAAGCCAUGCGAGUCGAGAGGGUUCAGACCCUCGGCGCACUGCUCAGUAACACGUGGAUAACCUACCCUGAGGAGGGGGAUAACCCCGGGAAACUGGGGAUAAUACCUCAUAGGUUUCAGAUGCUGGAAUGCUCUGAAACCGAAAUGCUCCGGCGCCUCAGGAUGGAUCUGCGGCCGAUUAGGUUGUUGUUGGGGUAACGGCCCAACAAGCCCGUCAUCGGUACGGGUUGUGAGAGCAAGAGCCCGGAGAUGGAUUCUGAGACACCAAUCCAGGCCCUACGGGGCGCAGCAGGCGCGAAACCUUUACAAUGCGAGCAAUCGUGAUAAGGGAACCCCGAGUGCCUGAAACCAGGCUGUUCAGGUGUUUAAAAAGCACCUGGAGAAAGGGCCGGGCAAGACCGGUGCCAGCCGCCGCGGUAAUACCGGCGGCUCGAGUGGUGGCCGCU
rnacentral:rRNA from 1 species